GUGCCAGCCGCCGCGGUAAUACAGAGGGUGCGAGCGUUAAUCGGAAUUACUGGGCGUAAAGGGCGCGUAGGUGGGAGUCUAAGUCAGAUGUGAAAGCCCUGGGCUCAACCUAGGAACUGCAUUUGAUACUGGACUGUCUAGAGUGAGGUAGAGGGUGGCGGAAUUCCCGGUGUAGCGGUGAAAUGCGUAGAUAUCGGGAAGAACACCAGUGGCGAAGGCGGCCACCUGGACCUUAACUGACACUGAGGCGCGAAAGCGUGGGUAGCGAACAGGAUUAGAUACCCUGGUAGUCCACGCUGUAAACGAUGAAGACUAGCUGUUGGAAGACUUCGGUUUUUCAGUGGCGCAGCUAACGCGAUAAGUUUUCCGCCUGGGGAGUACGGUCGCAAGAUUAAA
rnacentral:rRNA from 1 species